rnacentral:rRNA from 1 species
GACGAACGCUGGCGGCGUGCCUAAUACAUGCAAGUUGAGCGCUGAAGGUUGGUACUUGUACCAACUGGAUGAGCAGCGAACGGGUGAGUAACGCGUGGGGAAUCUGCCUUUGAGCGGGGGACAACAUUUGGAAACGAAUGCUAAUACCGCAUAAAAACUUUAAACACAAGUUUUAAGUUUGAAAGAUGCAAUUGCAUCACUCAAAGAUGAUCCCGCGUUGUAUUAGCUAGUUGGUGAGGUAAAGGCUCACCAAGGCGAUGAUACAUAGCCGACCUGAGAGGGGGAUCGGCCACAUUGGGACUGAGACACGGCCCAAACUUCUACGGGAGGCAGCAGUAGGGGAUCUUCGGCAAUGGACGAAAGUCUGACCGAGCAACGCCGCGUGAGUGAAGAAGGUUUUCGGAUCGUAAAACUCUGUUGGUAGAGAAGAACGUUGGUGAGAGUGGAAAGCUCAUCAAGUGACGGUAACUACCCAGAAAGGGACGGCUAACUACGUG